rnacentral:rRNA from 1 species
CCUACGGGAGGCAGCAGUGAGGAAUAUUGGUCAAUGGGCGCGAGCCUGAACCAGCCAAGUAGCGUGAAGGAUGACUGCCCUACGGGUUGUAAACUUCUUUUAUAAAGGAAUCAAGUGAGGCACGUGUGCCUUUUUGUAUUUACUUUAUGUAUUAGGAUCGGCUAACUUCGUGCCAGCAGCCGCGGUAAUACGGAUGAUCCGAGCGUUAUCCGGAUUUAUUGGGUUUAAAGGGAGCGUAGAUGGGUUGUUAAGUCAGUUGUGAAAGUUUGCGGCUCAACCGUAAAAUUGCAAUUGAUACUGGCAGUCUAGAGUACAGUUGAGGUAGGCGGAAUUCGUGGUGUAGCGGUGAAAUGCUUAGAUAUCACGAAGAACUCCGAUUGCGAAGGCAGCUUACUAAACUGCCACUGACAUUGAUGCUCGAAAGUGUGGGUAUCAAACAGGAUUAGAUACCCGAGUAGUG